CGUAUUUUAAGCUAUUCAAAACACUCGAACUUGCGUUUUAUCAUAUCUAAAACACUCAUUCUCGUGUUUUAAAUACUACUUCACAAUCAAUAGGUUGUAAUUAUAUAGAGAAUAAUACAUGGGUGCGCGGAAAUACCAGAUUUAUUUCGAGUGUUGAACAUGAUAUCUCACGAGUGAACACGAGAAAUAAAUCUGGUAUUUCCAAGCACCCAUGUAUUUUUCUGUUUAUUAUAUAAAGGACAGCCUUUGAAAAGCGAUAAUUUUUACAGAAAAGCGAUAAAUGAAAAGCGAUAAUUUUCACAUGUGAGAUUACAUGAAUAAUCUCACAUGUGAGAUUAUCACUUUUAUCAGUGCUCGAAAUCUCUUUCAAAAACUCAUUAAUAAUUCAUGAGGAAAACACAAAGAGAAAUCAUGAGCGUGGCGUGUCUUUAUAUGUGAUAAAACACGCUUCAAAUUUCAACUUGUAUUUUCUCAGCUAAUACAAAGUUAUUUUGGAAAAUUAUUUCGCCAAUGCCGUGAUCUAACUGAGACGUUUUUGAAGCUGUUUAAUAAACUCGUAGUUCGUGUUUUAUCACAUAUAAAACACUCCGCUACGCGUCGUGUUUUAUAUGUGAUAAAACACUCCUACUCGUUUAUUAAACAUUACAUAAAGCACUAUACUUUAUAUAAUAAAUUGCAUGCUGUUCUUAAUUGUAAAUAUAUUUUAUCGACUUGGAGUUAAAUAUAAACAUUUAUUGUUUUGUAAGUUGUUUUUUAACGUGAAUUAAUUGAUUUUUUCUCCUUAUUUUAUGUUGGUUCACGUGACAUCGAGUGCAUUUGUUACCUACUGGAUGGACGUGUUGUGAUGUGCCAUGAAGAGAGUACGUGCCAACCAUGAUGGAACCAUCAACAGAAUGACGAACCGUGACCAACAGAAGCAAAAUGCAAAGAUGUAAAUGUAAGUUUUGUCGAUGCAAUUGUGUUGGAAAUAACGUAAUAUAUAUUAGGCAAGACUUUUUUAUUUAUUCGUUUAUGGAUUUGACUUUAAAAAACCCAGGUAGGUUGGUCGGAAAAUGUUUUUUAAAACACACUGAGUAUAUUUAAAAUCGAUGUUUUUAUCUUCUAAACAUUUAAUUUCCACUUGGAAAAACAUGGCUAAUCUCCAUAUUGAUUGUCACAACGAUAACAUGAGCCAGCAGUACUUAGAGUCGAAGUUUACUUGACCUGUACUUCAUGUAAGAACCCCCGAAUUAACUAAAACUUGACAUCCAAUUUCUUUUAUUUUUCACUCUCUGAAUAUUUACGGUCAGCGGAUCCGUAAACCAAUGAAUAAAAAAAUUCUCGCCUUACUCACUUUAAUUGCCACAUCCAUUUGUCUUACUCAGUUGUACUUUUAAUUCUUUGAGAUUGGCCACACCUUUUUAUGCACCUAUGCAAUUUUCAUUUUAGCAUUUAAUAUUAUUUUGCAUGUCCUAUCCUUACGUAUAAUAACUAAAUGUUUUCAAGCACAUCCUCCUUACGGAUAUUUAAUGUAUUAUCUAAUGGAAAUGUUCUUUCAUUUAAAAAAAGAUGUGAUGAGGUGUGAAGAAGAAUCCAGCCAGAAGACAGUGGAACGAUCAGGUGCAACGAGGAACGACCACUAGAUGAAUGCCUACAUUUACAACCAACAGAUCCAACAACAUUGCCAAGAUGAGAG